UCAUUCUUGUCACUCACUUUCAUUCUCGCCUUCUGCCGAGUAGACGAGCGUAUGCACACUCCCGCCGUUCGAGAGAGCAGAAUUCGAAGCCUGCCGUUGGGCGCUGGUGUUUCUUUCGACGUCCUCAGCUUCGGAAGUGACCCUUGGAGCUCUACGCCUAAGACCUGACAUAAGCCGAAGACUGCAUCGGAGAUGGUGCCGUGAAGAUGAUGGACUAGGGGAGCACUCGAUGCGUUUGACGAAUAUAGGUCCAAGCAUGCAUUUCCCUCUGCAAAAGAUGCCUUCGCAAGAUUGCAGCAGAUUGUGCUCCACCUGGCCGUAAACGGAGGAGUCUUCAUGGAUCCAUGCGGCAGAGAAAAUGGCGGAAGCUGGAACUUGGUGAAAAACCUGACUCUGUGGAAUGACAUUGUGACUGCCAUUGACGUACAUGUAAAAUAAAACUUCGGCAUCAUGGAGCUGGAAGUACACUUUCCCCAUAAGCGCUUUGACCACCGGCAAACGGCUGACAGCAUCCAGCGAUUGAUGCUUCCAACAAUAAUGCAGCGAUGCAUCCAGCUAUGCUGCCGACAAUGCUGCCGUAUUUGCUGCCGACGAUGCUGCUGACGAUGCGACCAACGGUGCAUCCAACAAUGCAACCAAAGAUGCAUCAUACGAUGCAUCCAACGACGCUUCCAACGAUGCGUUCUACGACGCUUCCAACGAUGCGUUCUACGAUGCGUCCAACGAUGCGUUCUACGAUGCGUCCAACGAUGCGUUUUACGAUGCGUUCAACGAUGUGUCCAGCGAUGCGUCGAACGAUUCGUGUAACG